rnacentral:misc_RNA from 1 species
UGACAUUGGAAUUUUGGAAAAUUUGAGGUCAUUUCUUUAUUCUGUUUGCAUUAUGCUACAUUCAGUUCAGUGAUUCUUCAAUCGCGUAAUAUAAACUGCCUUCGAUCUCUUUAGAAAUUUCAACUGUGCAGAAAUUGAUUGCUAUUUAGCAAGUAACCUUAUAUGCAUUUAUGAUCUUUAAUUGUGAUGCUUACAUGUUAACAGAUAUGCUUCGAUUCAAGCAAUUGA